AAAAAUAAUUUAUAUAGAAUUAAUUUUAAUUUGAAAAAGUAAUUUUAGUUAAGAGCCGUAGAGCGUUUGGCUGAGUUUAGAUAAAAGUUAUUUUUUUCAAGUAAUUUUGUAAAGCUGUUUGUCAAAAAAAUUUGAUGUUUGCAUAUAAUAACAUUUUUUACUAAAUUUUAUUUUAAAAUAAUUUAAAAUUUGAAUUAAAAUUUAAAAUUUUGAAUUUUAAAAUUUGAGAUUUGAUAUUUAAAUUUAAAAUUUAAUAUCUAAAUUUUAAAUUUUAAAUUUUAAAAGUUGAAAUUUUAAAAAUUCAAAAAUGAAUUAAAAAAUUAAAAAUAAAAAUUAAAUUUAAAUUUAAAUUUGGAAUCAAAAAUUAAAAUAAAAAUUUUAAAUUUGAUUCCAAAAUCAGAACCAGAUUUCAAAAAGCAGACUUUUGAUUUUGGGUCUCGAAAAUCAAAGAACUGAUUCUAAAAAUCAAAAUCAAAUUAAAAAAAUGUGAUUGUCAAAUACUCUAUUAAGCCAAAAAUCACUUAAUUUUGAACUCAAAAUCACUUUUCAAAGCUAGGCCAAACACCCCAAUAACUUUUCAUAAAUAGAAAAA
rnacentral:lncRNA from 1 species